CCUAUCCCGAAGCACAGAUGAAGCUGUCUUAUCUAGGCCUAUAGUCUAGACCUAACAAAGAAGAAAACAAUUACCUCUGGUCCUUUCUCUUAGGUUUUCGUUAGCUGAAACCAUAUCACAGGAAGGAAGAUUAAAAUCUGACAAGAAACCUGGACAAAUUUUUGUCACAACUUUUUUCCACUCUGAGGGCCCAACGGACUUCGUCCCAAACCAUUGAGGACGUCUCCAAGGAAAUGAAACACUGCUGGAUAUAUUAUAGAAAUCAUCGUGGUAAAGAAGGUAUUAAAGUAAGACUGGAAAUCAACUGUUUUGCCCAAGGGACAGACCCUCAGCUGUGACUCUGCACCUGAUCUCUGUGGCUUUGCUGAAAUGUAGCUUUAACCCUUGACUACCCUAAUGGUGAGCACCAGCGUGAUGGAGAGGCUCAGCUUCUGCAUAUUUGAAAUCAGCUAGGAGGCUUCUGUUGAUACAAAACACAGUAUUUGUAGACUGAUCUAGUCCUGCGACAAGUGGUAAAGAAGUAUGAACUGCAACUGCCAUAUGGCAACGUGAAGUAUUUCCAGAGAAAUACUUGAAAGUGUCAUAAAAACAGUAAAAACAUUUAACAUUUCAAAAGGCUUAACUUCAGUUUGUAGAUAAACUAUGUCAACAGGCUGCUUUUGUUCAAAUCUCAGCAGACAGAUGAUACCCAGGCAGAUAAGAUAUGACUUUGUGCAAGUGACUUAAACUCUGGAGGCUUUGGUUUCCUUAUAGAAAACAGGGAAUAGGCCCUUGGGAUUAUAGUGAAAAUUAAAAGAAAUAAUGUAUAUACAGCAACUAGCACAAUCUCUGAUCUCUAUGGAAAAUACUUGAUAAGAUUAUCAUCAUUAUUUUUAUAUUAUGAAUACAUUUGUUGUGUUACAUAUAAUUGAUGUCUACCUGCUGUGAAAGUAUGUAUAGGUAUACAGAUGUAGAUGGUGAAAGAAAAGAGGAAGAGAAAGAAUCAGAAAAAUAUAUACUUGAUUCACCUUCCCAACCCUGCUAUUCAAACCUUUUAUUCUAUGCUGUUUUCCCUGUCUCCAUAGUCGGAAUACCAUACACCCAGUCGCUCAAGCCAAAUAUUUUAGAGUCAACGUUAAUAUCUCCCUUUCCCUUACUGGCUGGCCACCCUAUCUAAUUUCAGUUAUUAUAAUCCCAUCAUCAUCUCUCCCUGGACUUUUGUAUUUUUAUUUAGCUUCCUCUUCCUAAAUCUUCUCCCUUCUUUCAUUUAGAGUCCCCUCUAACUACAAAACCAGUCUUAAAAUAGAAAUUAGAUCACAUCUCUCUUCCCAAUUGGAAACCCUUCAAUGACUUUUCACUGUGCUUCAAGUAAGAUGCAAACACCUUUCCAGGGCCUCAAAACUGCUGCAGGAUCGAAUUCCCAACACUCUCUGAUGCCACCACCCACAUCCUCCCUGACUACAUUUCAGUCUGUUGAACAAGCCAAGCUCCUUUCCACCUCACAGCCUGUGUACAAAUCGUUCUCUCUGACUGGAACACUCUUCCAUUUUUGCAUAAAUGUCUGAUUCCUGUUUGACCUUCAAGCCAGAACUUCAAAGUCAGCUGCUCAGAGAGGUCUUCCCAGGACACCAACUGACGCAGACGACCUCCUCAUCUCAGUUAUUCUCUAGAUCCACACUGUGUCUUAACAGCACAUAAAAUAACUUGUAUUUUAAUAGUUUUUCACUUUUUAGUGUGUCUGUCUCUGUCAAAGCCUGUAAAUAACUUAAAGGCUGGGACCAUAUUUUUCUUUUCCAUUUUUUCACUUGCAGUGCUCAAGAU